rnacentral:lncRNA from 1 species
UACAGCCCUUUCUAAAUCCUGUUAACUUGAGUAUGGUAGAGAUUGGAAUAAUUAAAUUUUGAUCUAGGCUGCAGCCCUUACUCAAUCCUAUUAGGACUGAAUAGGGUGGAGAUUUAUUCCAAGUAUCUCCAUUGUAUCAAUUCUAAAUCAAUCAAGACUCAAAGAAAUUCCUGUUCUAUGCUUAAGCAUAGGUCAAAGUCCUUUCCAUUGUUCAGCAAAGGGUUUCUGUCCUAAAGUAAUCUUAAGAAGGGAAGAGAAGGAAGGAAGAAAGAAAGAAAGAAAGAAAGAAAGAAAGAAAGAAAGAAAGAAAGAAAGAAAGAAAGAAAGAAAGAAAGAAAGAAAGAAAGAAAGAAAGAAAGAAAGAAAGAAAGAAAGAAAGAAAGAAAGAAAAGGAGGGAGGGAGGGAGGGAGGGAGGGAGGGAGGGAGGGAGGGAGGGAGGAGGGAAGAGGGAGGGAGGGAGGGAGGGAGGGAGGGAGGGAGGGAGGAAGGAAGAAACAAACCCCAUUAGAAUUAAGAUGGACUCCAUGCUCUUGUACUUCAUGGUCCUGUGGCUCAUGAGACAUUGUGCUAUAAGAAAUUACAAGAAGCAAUGGCUGAAUAAGUUUGGGAUUUCAUUGUGAUAGAAUACUACUGUGCUCAUGAGACAUGAGAGAUGUGUCCUAAGAGGAGACAUGCCCCCAGACGGCAUCAUCAACCUUUGGAAAAUAUCGUCUGUGAGUUAGGAGCUCCCCAGAGCUCAGUACUGGCUGAUAGUGGUCUACAAAGUCACCUAAAGCCACCUUGAAUAAGCAGGCUAGCCCUGGAAUAACUAGUGGUAAUUUAUAGCUGUCCUAGAGAGCCUUCUCUGAGGCUGGGCUGGCUUGUAGCCCUAAAGCCUCUCAGGAAGACUGGGAGUUCUGCCAUCACCUGUUACUUUCCUCCUGCUCCCUGACUUCUCAUUAGCCCCCCAAAAGUUCUAAGAAUUCUGGCACUCUCAUAGGUAGAGGCCACCUGGGCCAUGAACUGCUGGGAUCCAAAGUGGGGUGUUCCUCACAGGCUUGCCCAUUUUCAGGCUGAUCUCCUGUACUGGAGCUGGGUAUAGCCAGG